GCUGUGAUGGCCGAGUGGUUAAGGCGUUGGACUUGAAUUUCAAUGGGUAAUACCCGCGCAGGUUAAAAUCCUGCUCACAGCG